UACGAAGGGGGCUAGCGUUGCUCGGAAUCACUGGGCGUAAAGGGUGCGUAGGCGGGUCUUUAAGUCAGGGGUGAAAUCCUGGAGCUCAACUCCAGAACUGCCUUUGAUACUGAAGAUCUUGAGUUCGGGAGAGGUGAGUGGAACUCCGAGUGUAGAGGUGAAAUUCGUAGAUAUUCGGAAGAACACCAGUGGCGAAGGCGGCUCACUGGCCCGAUACUGACGCUGAGGCACGAAAGCGUGGGGAGCAAACAGG
rnacentral:rRNA from 1 species